GAUGAACGCUGGCGGCGUGCCUAAUACAUGCAAGUCGAGCGAACGGACGAGAAGCUUGCCUCUCUGAUGUUAGCGGCGGACGGGUGAGUAACACGUGGAUAACCUACCUAUAAGACUGGGAUAACUUCGGGAAACCGGAGCUAAUACCGGAUGAUAUUUUGAACCGCAUGGUUCAAAAGUGAAAGACGGUCUUGCUGUCACUUAUAGAUGGAUCCGCGCUGCAUUAGCUAGUUGGUAAGGUAACGGCUUACCAAGGCAACGAUGCAUAGCCGACCUGAGAGGGUGAUCGGCCACACGGGAACUGAGACACGGUCCAGACUCCUACGGGAGGCAGCAGUAGGGAAUCUUCCGCAAUGGGCGAAAGCCUGACGGAGCAACGCCGCGGGAGUGAUGAAGGUCUUCGGAUCGUAAAACUCUGUUAUUAGGGAAGAACAUAUGUGUAAGUAACUGUGCACAUCUUGACGGUACCUAAUCAGAAAGCCACGGCUAACUACGU
rnacentral:rRNA from 1 species